UUCGGACUGUAGUCUGCAACCCGACUACACGAAGCCGGAAUCGCUAGUAAUCGCGAAUCAGAAUGUCGCGGUGAAUACGUUCCCGGGCCUUGUACACACCGCCCGUCACACCAUGGGAGCCGGAAAUGCCCGAAGCCAGUGACCCAACCUUAGGGAGGGAGCUGUCGAAGGUGGAGCCGGUAACUGGGGUGAAGUCGUAACAAGGUACC
rnacentral:rRNA from 1 species